GAUUCCCCUAGUAACUGCGAGUGAAGCGGGAAGAGCUCAAAUUUAAAAUCUGGCGGUUUCUGGCCGUCCGAGUUGUAACCUAGAGAAGUGCUACCCGCGCUGGACCAUGCAUAAGUCUCCUGGAACGGAGCGUCAUAGAGGGUGAGAAUCCCGUCUUUGGCAUGGACUCCCAGGGCUUUGUGGUGUGCUCUCAAAGAGUCGAGUUGUUUGGGAAUGCAGCUCAAAAUGGGUGGUAAAUUCCAUCUAAAGCUAAAUAUUGGCGAGAGACCGAUAGCGAACAAGUACCGUGAGGGAAAGAUGAAAAGCACUUUGGAAAGAGAGUUAAACAGUACGUGAAAUUGUUGAAAGGGAAACGCUUGAAGUCAGUCGCAUUGGCUGAAGAUCAACCUUACAAUUCUGUGGGGUGUAUUUUUCAGUCAAUGGGUCAGCAUCAGUUUUGACUGCUAGAAAAGCAGAGGAUGUGGCACCCUUUGGGUGUGUUAUAGCCUCUAGUCACAUGUGGCAGUUGGACUGAGACUCAGCGUGCCGCAGGCGGGUCUUUGACCACGUUCACGCUUAGGGAUGCUGGCAUAAUGCUUUAAUCGACCCGUCUUGAAACACGGGACCCAGGAGUCUAACAUGCCUGCGAGU
rnacentral:rRNA from 1 species